UACAGAGGGUGCGAGCGUUGUUCGGAAUUAUUGGGCGUAAAGGGUGCGUAGGCGGGUCUUUAAGUCAGGGGUGAAAUCCUGGAGCUCAACUCCAGAACUGCCUUUGAUACUGAAGAUCUUGAGUUCGGGAGAGGUGAGUGGAACUGCGAGUGUAGAGGUGAAAUUCGUAGAUAUUCGCAGGAACACCAGUGGCGAAGGCGGCUUACUGGUCCAUAACUGACGCUGAGGUGCGGAGAGCGUGGGGAGCGAACCGGG
rnacentral:rRNA from 1 species